rnacentral:rRNA from 1 species
CAGCGUUUAUCUUCCGUAGGGGUAACCUGCGGAGGGAUCAUUACACAAAUAUGAAGGCGGGCUGGAACCUCUCGGGGUUACAGCCUUGCUGAAUUAUUCACCCUUGUCUUUUGCGUACUUCUUGUUUCCUUGGUGGGUUCGCCCACCACUAGGACAAACAUAAACCUUUUGUAAUUGCAAUCAGCGUCAGUAACAAAUUAAUAAUUACAACUUUCAACAACGGAUCUCUUGGUUCUGGCAUCGAUGAAGAACGCAGCGAAAUGCGAUAAGUAGUGUGAAUUGCAGAAUUCAGUGAAUCAUCGAAUCUUUGAACGCACAUUGCGCCCUUUGGUAUUCCAAAGGGCAUGCCUGUUCGAGCGUCAUUUGUACCCUCAAGCUUUGCUUGGUGUUGGGCGUCUUGUCUCUAGCUUUGCUGGAGACUCGCCUUAAAGUAAUUGGCAGCCGGCCUACUGGUUUCGGAGCGCAGCACAAGUCGCACUCUCUAUCAGCAAAGGUCUAGCAUCCAUUAAGCCUUUUUUUCAACUUUUGACCUCGGAUCAGGUAGGGAUACCCGCUGAACUUAAGCAUAUCAAUAAGCGGGAGGAAUCUGUU